rnacentral:rRNA from 1 species
GGUAAUACGGAGGGUGCAAGCGUUAAUCGGAAUUACUGGGCGUAAAGCGCACGCAGGCGGUUUGUUAAGUCAGAUGUGAAAUCCCCGGGCUCAACUUGGGAACUGCAUUUAAAACUGGUAAGCUAGAGUCUCGUAGAGGGGGGGUAGAAUUCCAGGUGUAGCGGUGAAAUGCGUAGAGAUGUGGAGGAAUACCGGUGGCGAAGGCGGCCCCCUGGACGAAGACUGACGCUCAGGUGCGAAAGCGUGGGGAGCAAACAGGAUUAGAUACCCUGGUAGUCCACGCUGUAAACGAUGUCGAUUUGGAGGUUGUGCCCUUGAGGCGUGGCUUCCGGAGCUAACGCGUUAAAUCGACCGCCUGGGGAGUACGGCCGCAAGGUUAAAACUCAAAUGAAUUGACGGGGGCCCGCACAAGCGGUGGAGCAUGUGGUUUAAUUCGAUGCAACGCGAAGAACCUUACCUACUCUUGACAUCCAGAGAACUUUCCAGAGAUGGAUUGGUGCCUUCGGGAACUCUGAGACAGGUGCUGCAUGGCUGUCGUCAGCUCGUGUUGUGAAAUGUUGGGUUAAGUCCCGCAACGAGCGCAACCCUUAUCCUUUGUUGCCAGCGGUUCGGCCGGGAACUCAAAGGAGACUGCCAGUGAUAAACCGGAGGAAGGUGGGGAUGACGUCAAGUCAUCAUGGCCCUUACGAGUAGGGCUACACACGUGCUACAAUGGCAUAUACAAAGAGAAGCGACCUCGCGAGAGCAAGCGGACCUCAUAAAGUAUGUCGUAGUCCGGAUUGGAGUCUGCAACUCGACUCCAUGAAGUCGGAAUCGCUAGUAAUCGUAGAUCAGAAUGCUACGGUGAAUACGUUCCCGGGCCUUGUACACACCGCCCGUCACACCAUGGGAGUGGGUUGCAAAAGAAGUAGGUAGCUUAACCUUCGGGAGGGC